rnacentral:rRNA from 1 species
AAUAGAUACCCGGGUAGUCCACGCCGUAAACGAUGGAUACUAGCUGUUUGGUAGUAAUACUGAGUGGCUAAGCGAAAGUGAUAAGUAUCCCACCUGGGGAGUACGGUCGCAAGACUGAAACUCAAAGGAAUUGACGGGGGCCCGCACAAGCGGUGGAGCAUGUGGUUUAAUUCGAUGAUACGCGAGGAACCUUACCAGGGCUUAAAUGUAGAUUGACAGGCGUGGAAACAUGCUUUUCUUCGGACAAAUUACAAGGUGCUGCAUGGUUGUCGUCAGCUCGUGCCGUGAGGUGUCAGGUUAAGUCCUAUAACGAGCGCAACCCCUGUUGUUAGUUGCCAGCGAGUAAUGUCGGGAACUCUAACAAGACUGCCAGUGUAAACUGCGAGGAAGGUGGGGAUGACGUCAAAUCAUCACGGCCCUUACGUCCUGGGCCACACACGUGCUACAAUGGACGGUACAGAGAGCAGCCACUUAGCAAUAAGGAGCGAAUCUAUAAAACCGUUCUCAGUUCGGAUCGGAGU